rnacentral:rRNA from 1 species
AGUAGGGAANNUAGCGCGGUGGUCCCACCUGACCCCAUGCCGAACUCAGAAGUGAAACGCCGUAGCGCCGAUGGUAGUGUGGGGUCUCCCCAUGUGAGAGUAGGGAACUGCCAGGC